rnacentral:rRNA from 1 species
UCGAGAAUUUUUCACAAUGGGGGAAACCCUGAUGGAGCGACGCCGCGUGGGGGAUGAAUGGCUUCGGCCCGUAAACCCCUGUCAUUCGCGAACAAUGCCAGUGUAAUAACACCAUACAGGAUGAUAGUAGCGGAAGAGGAAGGGACGGCUAACUCUGUG